rnacentral:rRNA from 1 species
UAGGGAAUCUUCGGCAAUGGACGAAAGUCCGACCGAGCAACGCCGCGUGGGUGAAGAAGGCUUUCGGAUCGUAAAACUCUGUUGUUAGAGAAGAACAAGGACGUUAGUAACUGAACGUCCCCUGACGGUAUCUAACCAGAAAGCCACGGCUAACUACGUGCCAGCAGCCGCGGUAAUACGUAGGUGGCAAGCGUUGUCCGGCUUUAUUGGGCGUAAAGCGAGCGCAGGCGGUUUCUUAAGUCUGAUGUGAAAGUCCCCGGCUCAACCGGGGAGGGUCAUUUGAAACUGGGAGACUUGAGUGCAGAAGAGGAGAGUGGAAUUCCAUGUGUAGCGGUGAAAUGCGUAGAUAUAUGGAGGAACACCAGUGGCGAAGGCGGCUCUCUGGUCUGUAACUGACGCUGAGGCUCGAAAGCGUGGGGAGCAAACAGG